UCCGCCUACGGGACGCAGCAGUGAGGAAUAUUGGUCAAUGGGCGGGAGCCUGAACCAGCCAAGUCGCGUGAGGGACGACGGUCCUAUGGAUUGUAAACCUCUUUUGUCGGGGAACAAGGGCGCCCACGGGUGGGCGGAUGAGUGUACCCGAAGAAAAAGCAUCGGCUAACUCCGUGCCAGCAGCCGCGGUAAUACGGAGGAUGCGAGCGUUAUCCGGAUUUAUUGGGUUUAAAGGGUGCGCAGGCGGAAGAUAAAGCCAGCGGUAAAAUU
rnacentral:rRNA from 1 species